rnacentral:lncRNA from 1 species
GGGCUAGGGCUCAGUUUUGCUUACUGAAAUUUGAGGUGAAAAUUUAGAAGCGAGAAAGGAACAGGGGGAAAUCAGAGAGUUAGAGAGACACGAAUUGAAGGGAGAGGGAGGUACCGAUGGUGGCUCAGUGAAGUGACGGCGGCGAUCCGCCGGUCCCCUCAGCGGCGCUAGCUUGCGAAGAGGGAAAUAGGCGCGGCUUCAGCUUUGCUCCCAGAAACAGAGGGACGACGCCGAACGCCGGCCUCACUAAUUUUCAGGCGCCAGAGGUGGCGCGGCGAGUUACAGACGGCGGCGGUGGGCGAAUUCUGAGGACAAAGCUAGGGCUCGUCCUAUAAAGAGAGAGAGAGAGAACGAGCGAGGAAAAAGGAGACAAUGAACAAGGAGGAAGUAGGACCGACCUCGCCAGUCUCCUAGGGGCGGCGGCUCGCCGGAUGUGAGAAAGAAAGAAGGGGCGAUUCCUUGUGAAGGGCUAGGGCUCACAAUUUUGCAGAAAGAGGGUAGCUUAGAUUGAGAAAUUGAGAAUGACAUUGAGAGGGAGGAAAACGGGCGAUAGGCGGCUCCCUCAGCCGGGGGAGGCGCUCGCCGGAGGAGAAGCGGCGCUGGCGAGUUUUGGAAGAGAGGCUGCUGAUUUGGGCGGAGGAAUUGAGGAACAGAAGUAGGAGGCUGUUUCCAGCCGUGAAAAUGAGAGAGAGAGAAAGAACCGAGAUAUCAUAUCUCUUGGUUGGGCCACUUUGAUUAGUUGGACUGGAGUUUAAUAUGAUGGGUUGAUUCUUUUCAUUGAGUGGGCUCAAACAAUGGUGAUUUUUAGGCCCAGAUUUCCUCAAAUACUUAUCAAGUGGGUUAGAAUACAAUAAAAUGAGUUUAUUAAUUAAGAUUAAUGAUCUGAUUUCAUUAGACGAGCUUAAAUCCUAUAGUUGGAUUAUUAUUAGAAUUUUC